rnacentral:rRNA from 1 species
UACGUAGGGGGCAAGCGUUGUCCGGAAUUAUUGGGCGUAAAGAGCUCGUAGGCGGCUUAGUAAGUCGGGUGUGAAACCUCCAGGCUCAACCUGGAGACGCCACCCGAUACUGCUGUGGCUAGAGUCCGGUAGGGGAGCGUGGAAUUCCUGGUGUAGCGGUGAAAUGCGCAGAUAUCAGGAGGAACACCAGCGGCGAAGGCGGCGCUCUGGGCCGGUACUGACGCUGAGGAGCGAAAGCGUGGGGAGCAAACAGG